GUCUAUUUGUAGGUAAAAAAAGUCUAACCUGCCCACUGAUAUAAAAGAAUUUAAGGGCCGCAGUAUUAUGACUGUGCAAAGGUAGCAUAAUCAUUAGGUUUUUAAAUGGAAUCUUGUAUGAAUGGUUGAACAAAGGAGAAGCUGUCUUUAUGUUAAAAUUUUAAUUUUACUUUUAAGUGAAAAGGCUUAAAUAUUUUAGAGGGACGAUAAGACCCUAUAAAGCUUUACAUUUUAAUUAUAUUUAAUUAAAUUUAUUAGUUAUAAAAAUUUAAUAUAAUUAUUUGUUGUGUUGGGGAGACAGGGGAGGAAAUAAUUAAUAACCGCUCUAGUGGGUGUACAUUUAUAUAUGGUAUAGUUGUUAAUAAUAGAUCCUAAGUAUAGAUUUAAAGUUUAAGUUACUUUAGGGAUAACAGUAUAAUUUUUUUUGAGAGUUCAUAUCGAAAAAGAAGUUUGUAACCUCGAUGUUGAAUUAAAAUAUCUAUAUAAUGUAGUCGUUAUAUAAGAGGGUCUGUUCGACCUUUGAUUUUUU
rnacentral:rRNA from 1 species